rnacentral:tRNA from 1 species
UGUAGCUCAGUGGUAUAGUGCUUGCCUAGCAAGCAUGAGGACCUGGGUACAAUCCCCAGUA